rnacentral:rRNA from 1 species
GUGGUCCUACGGGCAGGCAGCAGUGAGGAAUAUUGGUCAAUGGGCGGGAGCCUGAACCAGCCAAGCCGCGUGAGGGAAGAAGGUACAGCGUAUCGUACACCUCUUUUGUCAGGGAACAAAGGCGGGGACUAGUCCCCGGAUGAGGGUACCUGAAGAAAAAGCAUCGGCUAACUCCGUGCCAGCAGCCGCGGUAAUACGGAGGAUCCGAGCGUUAUCCGGAUUUAUUGGGUUUAAAGGGAGCGUAGGUGGAUUGUU